CCUACGGGUGGCAGCAGUGAGGAAUAUUGGUCAAUGGGCGCGAGCCUGAACCAGCCAAGUCGCGUGAGGGAAGACGGUCCUAUGGAUUGUAAACCUCUUUUGUCGGGGAGCAAAAGACGCCACGCGUGGCGUUCCGAGAGUACCCGAAGAAAAAGCAUCGGCUAACUCCGUGCCAGCAGCCGCGGUAAUACGGGGGAUGCGAGCGUUAUCCGGAUUUAUUGGGUUUAACGGGUGCGCAGGCGGAAGAUCAAGUCAGCGGUAAAAUUGAGAGGCUCAACCUCUUCGAGCCGUUGAAACUGGUUGUCUUGAGUGAGUGAGAAGUAUGCGGAAGGCGUGGUGUAGCGGUGAAAUGCAUAGAUAUCACGCAGAACUCCGAUUGCGAAGGCAGCAUACCGGCGCUCAACUGACGCUCAUGCACGAAAGUGUGGGUAUCGAACAGGAUUAGAUACCCGAGUAGUC
rnacentral:rRNA from 1 species